rnacentral:rRNA from 1 species
GACGUAGGGCGCGAGCGUUGUCCGGAUUUAUUGGGCGUAAAGAGCUCGUAGGCGGCUUGUCGCGUCGACCGUGAAAACUCGCAGCUCAACUGCGAGCCUGCGGUCGAUACGGGCAGGCUAGAGUUUGGUAGGGGAGACUGGAAUUCCUGGUGUAGCGGUGAAAUGCGCAGAUAUCAGGAGGAACACCGAUGGCGAAGGCAGGUCUCUGGGCCGAUACUGACGCUGAGGAGCGAAAGCGUGGGGAGCGAACAGG